GCGCUGGGCUCAGAGCUGGGAACAACACGGGAUGUUUGUGCAGUCGUCAGUAACUCGACAGCAAUACAGUUUAGGAAAAAACUGACAUAAGUUUUAGAUUUUAUUCAUUCAUACAUUAUUUACAGCAGUUGCUCUCAUAUUACAAUUCUCUUUCAUCUUUUCAGUUUUCACUUAUAAAAAAUUAACCAAAUAAACCUUAUAUAACCAAAUUUAUCACAGCAGGUCUGGUUAAUUUUCACAGUUACAGCGGCCAUCAGGAACACAACACGAGUGCCUACGCCUCGCUCUCCCCGCUCCAACCCACCACGGACACACGGACGUGUGGACACACGGACUCAUGUGUGCUCCUUCCUCCUGCAUUCUGCCAUAGGGCAGAGCAGAGCACACCGGGCUAUGAGACGUUGGCUCUCCUCUGCGUGGCAGUGCUGGGUUUGCCUCCUGCCUGCCCACAGGCUCCCUCUCCCCCACCACAAACAGCAUUUCCAGUAGCUUUCCAUACACCCACCCCACACAGCCCACCCCACACGAGGCCUGGUGGUGCUGACCCGUUUGAGGCCCGAUCCUGUACGUGUAGGCCCUGCAACUCGCAGCCCAGCCUGGCCUGCUCGCCCCCACCUGCUCUACAGUGUAAUUAUUGCUGUUUUAAAAUAGGUUCGUAUUUCUUUGAGGACUUGUAGCCGCUUCCUGUUACAAAUACAGUACAUACGAGGCUGGACAUGGAGAACACAAGACUAAUUUCACAUCAGUCUCGUACAACAGAGGGGAGGUGCAGAGGCAGCCCCAUGAACCAACACCACCGCCAUGGGCACGUCGAGCCAUGGAGCCCCAGCUGACGUUGGACAUUUUCCAAAUGCAUACCACACAUCUGCUUAACACUAUAUUAAAAAAAAAAGUAAUAAUAUUAAUAAUUAUUAUUAUUUUUGUAACCUUUACUGCAUUUGUCUCGAGAAGACUUUUGCUUUGAUAAAAUAACACGAGCACACAAACAAACGGCUUAAAGCUAACGGCCCAGCACAACUGUAAGUACAGCUCACAAAGCAAAGGGUGCUUUGUGAAACCUAAUAAUAAUAGCUUUGUAUUAAUUAAAAAAAAAAAAAAAAGCAAAUAUACAUAUUACAAGUCAAAGGACUAAGCUUUGAAGGCAAAGAAACUGAAAACUAUGUUAGCUAUAUGCUCAUUACGCUUACAUAGCAGUAGCUGCUUCUGCAUCCAAACGUGUUAUUUGUCAAUAGAUUUACAGUUGCAUCAGGUAUUUUCUAUGCGCUUGGUCUCAGUAAGUCCAUCUCCAGCUACUCUGAUGUUAAAGGCGUGCUCUCUCCUCUAGCUGGCUAUCACACAAUGAACAGCACCUCCAAAUCAUAGACUCAUAGAAUCAUUUGAGUUGGAAGGGACCCAUCAAGACCACCUAGUCCUACUCCCCUGCAAUGAGCAGGGACACCUACAGCUCCAGCAGGUGCUCAGAGCCCCUCCAGCCUGACCUUGGAUGUCUCCAGGGACAAGGCUUCCCCACAUGCAGCAACCUGUUCCAGUGCCUCACCAACACUACUGCAAAAACGUCUUCCUUACAUCCAACCUAAAUCUCCCCUGCUCCAGUCUGAAACCAUUUCCCCUUGUCCUAUCAUUGCAGACCCUGCUAAAGCGUCUGUCUCCUCCCUUAAGCUGCCUCACAGCUCCUGCUUUUAGCCACACUGUGUUCUAACCAACUUGUCCAAAGGAUUCUCUGGCUCCUUUGAUUCCAAAUGAAAGGUAAUCACAAGGGGGUCGCAGGCAGCAGCUUUUCAGAGGGAGAUAACUAAUCUCUGUGCACAGUGUCUGCUACUGAGGAGCGCAAGAACACAUUUUUGCUCAGGAUUUUGCUCAGGAUUUUUCAGGGAGAAAAAAAAAAUAGGAAAAAAAACCAAAACAAACAAAAAAAAAAAAAGGUCCUUUUGCAUGUUAAAGCUUAUUUAAUAGCUUGCACCCAUUCAUUUUCUUUAUGCGGUACAGUACAUUCCACCGCAAGACUCCUGUUAGCUUGGAAUUAAAAUGCCUUUAUUAAGCUUUAAAUAGAGUGCAUACCAACAGCAUUAUACCAGCGCUAAUGAAACACAGGCUCCCAGCAAACUUAAAAUUAGAUUGUUAAUUCAGAAGUAACCGGAGCUGGUUCCUACCCCCGUGUAUCUAGCAGCUCUGGGAUCCCUGCAGUCCCUCUCUACCCAUUUGCACCUCAGCCAGGAAAUGUGCCAAAUUAAAAGGCAGUGUGGCCUUGCACGGAGGAUCGAAAAGACUCGGUGAGAAGCAGAUGCUCCUCACUGGGAUCCCUAAAAUCCCCAUUUCCUUGGGGAAUCUCACGCUGGGACUCCCAAUGACCUCUUUGGUGCUGCCCUGACCACGGGUGCAGUGACAGCAGCGCAAAGGAGAAGCAGCGAUGUCCCUGUGGCCAGGAGCACUGCUCAGCUCUGAGCACCUCACAAGUGCUGCCGCCUUCACUCAAGGGAGGACAUGGCGUGAACUGACAACAAACAGCAGCGUGGGGCUUGCAAGUAAAAUUACAUCCUUCAUUGCUGACCUGCCUGUAACCAGGGGCUGAGCUCCCCACAGACCUUAUUGCCAAACAUGACGUGUGCUUGGGAUGCUGUUUGCUCCAGAUGUGCAGGGUGUCCCCGCUCAUCUCCAAGGGAACUCAUCUCUUGGGGCAAUUCCUGAGCUACUACAAUGCAAAAUUUCUUACUUUCAAGGAGAAGUGCUCUGUACCACCCCUAGUUGCUCUCCCAGGUGAUCUCUGGCUUCGAGCUGAGGACACGUGAGCAGAGCCCACUGUGUAAGGAUGAGCAGAACAGCCACGGUGCUAAAGGGACGACGGCAUCGCCAUGCAAUUCAAGGGCAGCAGAUACAACCCGUGUGAACAGCAGGUGCCUGGCACAGCUGGAGGACAUCUGCUGUUAUCCAGCUGCUCUGCCUGGCCCUGAAGUGGUCUCAGUAGCUUUCAUAUUUACCAAGGCAAGCUUCACAAGGGAUGUACUGCUCUUCCCGUCACUCCUGCUAUAGAGGAGCAGGGCACUUGGGCAGAAAACACCAUCAGUCAGGAGCAGCCCCUCACUGCUGGGGUUAGAUGACAACUGGAAAUAGGUUUUCAAUGAGUUCCAGGCAGUGGGUCCAGAUCUUCUGGCCAGCACCAAGCUCAGAACUGCUCUGUGCCACCCUGAUGCUCAACUGGGAGCAGCAAGAUGAUGCCUGAGCCAGUGAAAAGAGCACAGGGCUGGUCCUGCUGCAGGACUGCAUCAUGCAGGAAGAGCAAGGAGCUCAUAUCUGAGACUACAGGGCCGUUUCUGGGGGCCCUGCAGAGCUGCAGGCUCUGACUUCUCUGCAUGGCACCAUUUGAAUGGGUGCAAAGCAUAGGAUGGAUCUGCCAGGCAGGGCAGCACCAGCAGCGUUGCACCCGUGAGCCCUCUCCAUCUUCUUUGGCAAGCACAAGGCAGCACGCUUAACAGCCAGCCCUUCCCUCCCAGAACCAGCUGCCCGGGAUGGAUGGCACUGGGAGCAAGGGAUGGAUUUCUUCCAAAAAGCCACAGGUCACAGAGCAACUCACGAGAGCAUUACAGGAUGAAAUUCACUGGGCAACUGGUGGCCAAAUGGCAAAGAUUCAGCACAUCCCCAGCACCCAGCAGGUAUCACCAGCAGCUUCUGCCAUCACCAGCUUCAGUCUGCUCAUCUUAAGAACAAUCCUGGUAAGCUGACGGUACUUCUGUAUCUGUGGGAUCUUGGUACAAUUGAUUCCAGGUUUGUUUUUUUCUGAUAGGAUGAUGCGGUGGUUUCAUUACAAAGGCACAGGUAUGAAAUAAAACCAGCGACAUUCUUUCAAUUAAAUACUCCAAUAAAGAAAAACCUAAUGCUCAGUUUAGGCUUUACGUAUUCCUCCCUUAUUAAGAGACUAGUUGUGUGUUGUUGUGUUGUUUUUUUUUUCCCCUCUGGAAAGAUUUUAGUGCAGUGAUUAUAUAGCAACAGAAAAAUAAACUAAAAAAGGCACAAACUGUUUCGUGGUUUCUUUUUUUUUUUCCUUUCCCUUUCACUAACACUUUAUAGUUGUCUAUUUUCCUUAGGUUAAUAAAUCACUGAAAGCAGCAAGAAAAUAUUCUGCCCAUUUCUGUACACUAUACAAAACCCCCCAACCAACAGUACAUUAUUUCAGCUUCAGGAGAAAUGUACAGCAUAGUAAGACUGUUAAAAAUAGAGUGCCCCCAGACAGAAAUGGUGUUAAUUAACCUCGUGCCACAGCACCCCUGCUCCACCCCUUCCCCCCUUAUUGCUGACAACACGGAUGGGGAAGGGGCUGUUCCUGGUGCUGCCCAGGGAUGGGACCCCACACCACCACCCUGCCCCCCGCCCUCACACUGCAAUGCUUUCAGUGCUGUUGAUACGUUCCCUAUCCUCUCACCGAGUUGAUUGUGAACAUUUCCCCCCCCUACACACAUAAUACCUUGUGAAAUAGUAACUACUUCAUUCCCCCCAGGAACUGAGUGAAAGGGCUUUUCCCUUUGAAUGUGUUAACAUAGCUGAAACCCCUCCACCCACCCCAAAUUAAGUGCAGCCAGAAGUGUUUCUCUUUAUAUUUCUGAUACCACGUUUUAAAAGUAAAAUCUACUCAUCUUCUUUUUUCCCCUCCCACCCCACCCCCAAGACGUAAUUCAUGCAAAGUUGCUAUUUGUUUAAAUAAGUUAUAAAAGUUGAUAUUUCAGGCUAGGAGAAGCUGUAGCCUUGGUUACUCUUAGUUGGCAGGCACUGUACAUACAUACUGGGUACAGACACAUGCCGGAUCUGCUUUGCAUUGCUUUUUGCAUUGUACAAUUCACAAAUCUGACAUCAUUAAAGCGGUUAAUUACCUUUUAUGGCAGGCUGCAGUGAGGCCAUCUACAUGGAUCAAACAAGCAGCUGGUUAAGAUAAUAAGUACGUGCCCCCCACCCCCCAGAGCCCCCCAAAAUGCUAUUAUCUGUCACAUUGCUUCUCUGAAGUGCUCGGAGCUGGUGCGCACAUUAAUGUGCAAAUGUGUUGCCAUAGGAACUGCAGCCUCCAUUAUGCCUCAAUGACACCAUUCAGCAAAAGCCAGAACUAAAAAAAAAUGAACAACAACCAAAAAAAAAA